CACGGAAAGAACAAGAUUACACUGGAUAACAUUCCAGAUUAUUGUCAGUGACAUCUGUAGUGAAAAGAAAUUUCAGAUAGUAGCUAGGAUAUUCUAGAUUAUACUGAGUAUAAAUUUGGAUUAUACUCAGUGGAAUCUUGGAUUAUACCCAGUGAUAUCUCCGCGAUUUUUCUAACACCUUCGCACUUAGCAUUAUUAUAUACUAUG